rnacentral:tRNA from 1 species
GCGGGAGUGGCGGAAUUGGCAGACGCACCAGACUUAGGAUCUGUUCAAGUCCCUUCUCCCGCACCA